rnacentral:rRNA from 1 species
CCUACGGGUGGCAGCAGUGAGGAAUAUUGGUCAAUGGGCGGAAGUCUGAACCAGCCAAGUAGCGUGAGGGAUGACUGCCCUAUGGGUUGUAAACUUCUUUUGUAUGGGGAUAAAACGUUCCACGUGUGGGGUUUUGUAUGUACCCUAUGAAUAAGGGUCGGCUAACUCCGUGCCAGCAGCCGCGGUAAUACGGAGGAUCCGAGCGUUAUCCGGAUUUAUUGGGUUUAAAGGGAGCGUAGGGGGAUUGUUAAGUCAGGUGUGAAAGUUUGCGGCUCAACCGUAAAACUGCAGUUGAAACUGGCAGGCUUGAGUACAGUACAGGUGGGCGGAAUUCGUGGUGUAGCGGUGAAAUGCUUAGAUAUCACGAAGAACUCCGAUUGCGAAGGCAGUUCACUGGACUGCAACUGACACUGAGGCUCGAAAGUGUGGGUAUCAAACAGGAUUAGAUACCCGGGUAGUC